AAUUACCUACUAAAAUCACUAGCCAGUUUUUUGUGAGUUCAUUAAUCAUAUUUUUUAUUUAAAACUAAAAUUUGUUAAUAAUGCUUAGUAAUGCAUAUAUUUUGUAUUUUUAGCUUUCCAGAAGAUCCUGCGAAGAAGAUAUAAAGUAUAGAUCAGAUUUGUUAAUAGAGGAGUAUGUUCAAAACACUUUUUAGAAAAAGAUAUUGACAGAACUUCACUUUCAUCUGUUCGUUUGAGAGACUGUGCUGUUCCAAUAGCUUAUGUCACACAGAAUCAGCUGAGAGAAGUGGUCUACAAAAAACCAGAAAGGAAUAUGUGGCUACGAAAAGCAAAAGAAAGGUUUACAAAGCAAAUGUGACACAUUUUUUUAUAAUAUAUAGGAAUGUCAGUAAAUUACAUUAAAAAAUGUAUGUAAAGAUUUUUUGCAAUAAAAAUGUUUAUAUCUA